AAAGAAGCUGAAUGAAGCCCAUAAAUUGUGGGAAAUGACGCAUAAGAGAGGUAAGUUUCCUAAUGUAUUGACAGGGAGGAUUCUGAUGCAAGACACUACCCUAGAAAUUGUACGAAAACUCCUUUCUCUCAGAGCCUCAAAGUUUGAUUGAGACGGUUAAGGAUGGUGUCAUUCUCAGACAUCCCUCGUUUAGCUGAUUUUGUCCCUAAUUUG
rnacentral:misc_RNA from 1 species